GACGAGGGCGCGAGCGUUGUCCGGAUUUAUUGGGCGUAAAGAGCGUGUAGGCGGCCAGAUAGGUCCGUUGUGAAAACUGGAGGCUUAACCUCCAGCGGUCGAUGGAAACCAUUUGGCUAGAGUCCGGAAGAGGAGAGUGGAAUUCCUGGUGUAGCGGUGAAAUGCGCAGAUAUCAGGAAGAACACCCGUGGCGAAGGCGGCUCUCUGGGACGGUACUGACGCUGAGACGCGAAAGCGUGGGGAGCGAACAGG
rnacentral:rRNA from 1 species